AUUGAACGCUGGCGGCAUGCUUUACACAUGCAAGUCGAACGGCAGCGCGGGGCAACCUGGCGGCGAGUGGCGAACGGGUGAGUAAUACAUCGGAACGUACCCAGAAGUGGGGGAUAACGUAGCGAAAGUUACGCUAAUACCGCAUACGUUCUACGGAAGAAAGUGGGGGACCUUCGGGCCUCAUGCUUUUGGAGCGGCCGAUGUCUGAUUAGCUAGUUGGUGAGGUAAAGGCUCACCAAGGCGACGAUCAGUAGCUGGUCUGAGAGGACGACCAGCCACACUGGGACUGAGACACGGCCCAGACUCCUACGGGAGGCAGCAGUGGGGAAUUUUGGACAAUGGGCGCAAGCCUGAUCCAGCAAUGCCGCGUGAGUGAAGAAGGCCUUCGGGUUGUAAAGCUCUUUUGUUAGGGAAGAAACGGCUGGGGUUAAUACCUUCGGCUAAUGACGGUACCUGAAGAAUAAGCACCGGCUAACUACGUGCCAGCAGCCGCGGUAA
rnacentral:rRNA from 1 species